AUUUACAAUUAUUGCAGCAUUGAUUUAAAGUAUUUAAAUAAAAAUAAAAUAGGAUUUAAAGGAAUUUGAAAUAAUUAAAAAUGGGUAUCAAACCAUUCCGUGCUCAAAUAUCAGUACAAAAAAAUUUAUCUAAGAGAUCAAUUGUGCUUGAAUUUUAUCGAAAAAUAUCACAAACUGAUUCUGCUAUGCAAAAAAAUAUAAAUAAUAAUUUUAAGAAAUCUGAUGUUGAUAUCAAACGAAAUAAAUCUUCAUCUUAAUAAUAUAAAAAUAAGGAUCGUAUCGCUUUUGAUAUCCAUGUACUUGAACGCUUGUUAACUGUCCUUCUUGUUGCAUUCUAUAAUAAGCACGUAUGUAUAAAUAAUUUCAAAUUUUUAUAUAAUUAUAA